rnacentral:rRNA from 1 species
UACGUAGGGGGCGAGCGUUGUCCGGAAUCACUGGGCGUAAAGGGCGCGUAGGCGGCCUGAUAAGUAGGGGGUGAAAUCCUGUGGCUUAACUGCAGGGCUGCCUCCUAGACUGUUAGGCUCGGAGCACGGUAGAGGCAGAUGGAAUUCCCGGUGUAGCGGUGGAAUGCGUAGAGAUCGGGAAGAACAUCGGUGGCGAAGGCGGUCUGCUGGGCCGUUGCUGACGCUGAGGCGCGACAGCGUGGGGAGCAAACAGG